rnacentral:rRNA from 1 species
CAGUCGCCACGGGAAUACGAAGGGGGCUAGCGUUGCUCGGAAUGACUGGGCGUAAAGGGCGCAUAGGCGGAUUGUUUAGUUAGGCGUGUAAUUCCUGGGCUUAACCUGGGGACUGCGCUUAAUACAGGCAGUCUAGAGUGAGGAAGAGGGUUGUGGAAUUCCCAGUGUAGAGGUGAAAUGCGUAGAGAUCGGGAGGAACACCAGUGGCGAAGGCGGCCAUCUGGGUCAACACUGACGCUGAGGCACGAAAGCGUGGGGAGCAAACAGGAUUAGAUACCCCAGUAGUCCCUGUCUCUUAUAC